CCUAGCCGCCCCUCCGUGCCCUCUCGCCUUUUCCGUCCUCUCGCGCUCCACCACGGGAUCCCGACUCCCGAGGUCGCCGCCGCAGCAAACCACCUUGAGAUGGGCUGGUGCGCUCAUCGUCUCUGAUGUGCCAUGUAUCAUCUCCUCGGGUGAGAAAUCGAUCCUGAGUGACGUGAAUCGACGGUAUCAUCCAAUUGUUCCUCGGUGCCAUUCGUCCGCCGCCGCCGUUGAUUCGUCCUCUCCCCGUGCCCUUGUCUUCGUACAAGUUUCCUGUAGUUCUAGGGAUUCCUCCUGGUCCUUCCCAAGCCAAGGAAGAAGGGCCCGCGCGACCUUGAGCUCGAUCGCCGAGCUGCCGCUGGCCGUCGUCUCCUCCUAACUUCUACGAUCUCCAUUGUAAGCACCUACACGAGGAAGAAGAACAAGGAAGAUGGAAACAAGGAGGAAUCCAUCGACGUGAGGAGAAAGAUCUUGCAAUUUUAGACUGACUCUCCGUUGGUUUGCAUGCCUUCUCUCCUUCGUCAACGACCGAUCCCCAACCUCCUGGUCCAGGUAACCGCACUUGUUGCCUUGGUUAUUUCCCCUAUCUUCCUUGUUCACGGUGCAUCUUGCAGAGGAUCAUUUAGGAGAGCCGCGUGCGUCGAGCAACGACUAGCGACCAUGCGCGCACAGACCGGAGCAGAAAGAUCCGCCGUGCAGUGACUCGGACCUCGCGAGAUUUAUGCGUGCAUCCGAACCCUCACCCCAUGUUCUCUUUCUCAACAUGUCAAGGUCAUGUCAGCCACGGGUGAGCACCUGUGUUGCUCACCUCAAUCUGUCCUAUGGGUCUUCAAUGGCAGAGCGGAACAGAGGAGGAUAAUCUUACGCUUCCCAUCCGGCAACAAUCUUGGAAGGUUCAAAAUUUUCAGAAUUAGCAGCUCAGGUUAGCACCGUAUAUGCAAUCUCAUCUACCACUGUCUACUCCAUUUUUUUCAGAUUAGCCAGCUUUGCUGAUCUGAGGUAGGCCGGACGAGCGUGUAGUAAACCAACGUUGUCUCUUUCCAAUCAGAUCUGUAUGUUUAAGUGCAGCAACUGUUUUGGACCCGUGUGCAUCGUCUUGAUCUAGAAAAAGGAAAGGCUAGGAAGCACGUCAUGAUUAGCACUGAUUGAUACCGCACACAAGCAAUACAUGCAGGUUGAUCUUAUAUUGCAUCGACUUAUUUCUUUUACGGUCAUAUUCGUGUUAUGCUAGACAUUAAAUGUCAAUGAAGAGCCAUCCUCUUCAUUGCCUAUUUCAAAAGCACCUGCUUCAGCAUGAUGUGUUACAAAUACAUUUGAAGUUGCAGAGAAGGAAAUUAAGAGAGUGCUUCUUGGUUAUUGCUCAUGUCACAAUGCUAGAUUCUUUCUUUUGAUUUAAGCCUAGAGUAUGAACUCAAAGUGGUAAACAAUAUUGGUUUGUGAUCUGUUUUGAGCUAAAAUUCUGCUGAGUCCAUGAUAACUUUACACCUUUCAUACUAUGUAGUAUUUUUCAUCUUGGUCAGACAUUUAUGUUGCUUCUGUUGAUGCAUGCACAAGCCUAAAUAUUGAAAUGACAUGGAAAUAUCUUGGUUUUUUAUUUUCUGUUAUUGUGCAAGGCGUUAGUAUCUUACUGCUUGCUUAUUUGGAUCAUCUAAUGGUUCUUAUGUAUCUGUCGUAGGAACAUUUUCUGAACAUGGCUCGUUGUUUCCCCACAUAGAUAGAACAUCUAAUAUUAUCGAUUCUAGAGGUACAUGUAUGGUACAACUAAAUGUGCAUGAGCUUUCCAGUCAUAGAUUUAGUACAGUUUUUUCCAUUGUAGAUCUAUCAGUUACAUGAUUAGCAAAUAUAGUAAUAUAAAUUGCAAUAUCAACUUCAGUUAGUUGUGUGAACUAUGAAAGAAAAUCCCAACACGAAUAUUCGCCAGUCAAUUAUAAUCUCAAAGAAGUGAAGUUCAAAACCAUGCUACUGCUGAAGUCUUGCAGAAAUGCUAAUAGAAGUUUAGUUGAAAGAAACAUAAAUACAAAAAGCAGUUUAUCGUACCUUUGCAUGAGAAGACAUGAUCAGUACCUAAGCUUUGCAGUCAUGGAGGAACGCAACCAGUGUUGUGCGGCUAGGGCAACAAGCUGGUCAGGUAACUUCCUUUGUGAGGUUAUGUUGUUUUAUUUCUUUGUACACAAACCCUUCUCUCUCACACAUCUCAUAUCUGCAACAUGGUUUAUCCGUACUUUCAUUACUCAAUUGUUUUUGUUACAGAUUUUCAGUUCGACACAAAAUCAAAAGUGUUCUCCCUGGUAUGAUCCAUAUUACAUCGUUAAUCCUGGUGUUUUGUAUACACAGAGUUCAUUGUAUUCAUCUUAGUGGCAUGAUAAAGUUACUUAUAUCUAGACCUUUUGAGGUAACUUUGUAGAGAUUGUUCUGCAUGUUACUUAUCAUCAUCUUUGGGUAUAGGUAGGGACACAUAGGUUACAGUUUAUUGAUAGUUCAAGACCUUGACUCUCUGAAGUUUAUAGGUACUUUCUAGAUCCAUACUUGGAGACAGUAAGAUGCUUUGGAGCCGAGUAUAGAGCAACAAACCUUGAUGUGGCGAUAACAAUGAAGAUCCAGAAAGCAUCUGAUUUGGCCACAAAUUAGUCUAGCUCUUGACUCUAACUGAUGUAUUUAAGCAUGGCUCUGUUUUUGUGCACCUCUUAAUUCUACCUUUUAUUUUAUGGAAACAAAAGAGCUUGCUUUUA